UACAGGGGGUGCAAGCGUUAAUCGGAAUUACUGGGCGUAAAGCGUGCGCAGACGGUUGCGUAAGUCAGUUGUGAAAGCCCCGGGCUCAACCUGGGAAUUGCAUUUGAGACUGCGUAGCUAGGGUGCGGAAGAGGGAAGCGGAAUCUCCGGUGUAGCGGUGAAAUGCGUAGAUAUCGGAAGGAACACCAGUGGCGAAAGCGGCUUCCUGGUCCAGCACCGACGUUCAGGCACGAAAGCGUGGGGAGCAAACAGG
rnacentral:rRNA from 1 species